rnacentral:rRNA from 1 species
AGUGAACGCUGGCGGUAGGCCUAACACAUGCAAGUCGAGCGGCAGCACAGUAAGAGCUUGCUCUUACGGGUGGCGAGUGGCGGACGGGUGAGGAAUACAUCGGAAUCUACUUUUUCGUGGGGGAUAACGUAGGGAAACUUACGCUAAUACCGCAUACGACCUACGGGUGAAAGCAGGGGAUCUUCACCUUGCGCGAUUGAAUGAGCCGAUGUCGGAUUAGCUAGUUGGCGGGGUAAAGGCCCACCAAGGCGACGAUCCGUAGCUGGUCUGAGAGGAUGAUCAGCCACACUGGAACUGAGACACGGUCCAGACUCCUACGGGAGGCAGCAGUGGGGAAUAUUGGACAAUGGGCGCAAGCCUGAUCCAGCCAUACCGCGUGGGUGAAGAAGGCCUUCGGGUUGUAAAGCCCUUUUGUUGGGAAAGAAAAGCAGCAGGUUAAUACCCCGCUGUUCUGACGGUACCCAAAGAAUAAGCACCGGCUAACUUCGUG